rnacentral:rRNA from 1 species
GAUGAACGCUGGCGGCGUGCCUAAUACAUGCAAGUCGAGCGAACAGACGAGGAGCUUUCUCCUCUGACGUUAGCGGCGGAAGGGGGAGUAACACGUGGAUAACCUACCUAUAAGACUGGGAUAACUUCGGGAAACCGGAGCUAAUACAGGAUAAUUUAUUGAACCGCAGGGUUCAAUGGUGAAAGACGGUUUUGCUGUGACUUAUAGAUGGAUCGGGGCCGCAUUAGCUAGUUGGUAAGGGAACGGCUGACCAAGGCAACGAUGCGUAGCCGACCGGAGGGGGUGAUCGGCCACAAUGGAACUGAGACACGGCCCAGACUCCUACGGGAGGCAGCAGUAGGGAAUAUUACGCAAUGGGCGAAAGCUUGACGGAGCAACGCCGCGUGAGUGAUGAAGGUCUUCGGAUCGUAAAACUCUGUUAUUGGGGAAGAACAAAUGUGUAAGUAACUAUGCACGUCUUGACGGUACCUAAUCAGAAAGCCCCGGCUAACUACGUG